AGUGAACGCUGGCGGUAGGCCUAACACAUGCAAGUCGAACGGCAGCACAAGAGAGCUUGCUCUCUGGGUGGCGAGUGGCGGACGGGUGAGGAAUACAUCGGAAUCUACCUUUUCGUGGGGGAUAACGUAGGGAAACUUACGCUAAUACCGCAUACGACCUACGGGUGAAAGCAGGGGACCUUCGGGCCUUGCGCGAUUGAAUGAGCCGAUGUCGGAUUAGCUAGGUGGCGGGGUAAAGGCCCACCAAGGCGACGAUCCGUAGCUGGUCUGAGAGGAUGAUCAGCCACACUGGAACUGAGACACGGUCCAGACUCCUACGGGAGGCAGCAGUGGGGAAUAUUGGACAAUGGGCGCAAGCCUGAUCCAGCCAUACCGCGUGGGUGAAGAAGGCCUUCGGGUUGUAAAGCCCUUUUGUUGGGAAAGAAAUCCAGCUGGCUAAUACCCGGUUGGGAUGACGGUACCCAAAGAAUAAGCACCGGCUAACUUCGUGCCAGCCGCCGCAGUAA
rnacentral:rRNA from 1 species